AACUUCGUGCCAGCAGCCGCGGUAAUACGAAGGGACCUAGCGUAGUUCGGAAUUACUGGGCUUAAAGAGUUCGUAGGGGGUUGAAAAAGUUAGUGGUGAAAUCCCAGAGCUUAACUCUGGAACUGCCAUUAAAACUUUUCAGCUAGAGUAUGAUAGAGGAAAGCAGAAUUUCUAGUGUAGAGGUGAAAUUCGUAGAUAUUAGAAAGAAUACCAAUUGCGAAGGCAGCUUUCUGGAUCAUUACUGACACUGAGGAACGAAAGCAUGGGUAGCGAAGAGGAUUAGAUACCCUCGUAGUCCAUGCCGUAAACGAUGUGUGUUAGACGUUGGAAAUUUAUUUUCAGUGUCGCAGCGAAAGCGAUAAACACACCGCCUGGGGAGUACGACCGCAAGGUUAAAACUCAAAUGAAUUGACGGGG
rnacentral:rRNA from 1 species